rnacentral:rRNA from 1 species
UGGUGGAGUGAUUUGUCUGGUUAAUUCCGAUAACGAACGAGACCUUAACCUGCUAAAUAGUCACGCGAACUAACGUUCGAUGGACGACUUCUUAGAGGGACUUUCGGCGACUAGCCGAAGGAAGUUUGAGGCAAUAACA